rnacentral:snRNA from 1 species
GGAUAUGAGGGUGAUCUGGCUGCAACAUCUAUCACCCCAUUAAUUUCCAGGGUUGAUUUGGCUUAUCUGGCUGGACAGGCUGGUAUCCCUUUCCUCCCUCACCAUUCCAUGUGCAGCCCUCCAGAAGCUGCAGGCUUGGUUGACCUCUCCCAAAUAGAGAAGGACUUGACUUUGAUCGAGGGUAUGAGAGUAGCUGCGCUCCCCUUCUAGAACCUCCAAACAAGCUCUCACAGAACCUAAAUGUAAAAAUAUAGCAAAUGAUAUUUGGGGUCUCCAUUU